AGUGUGCGUGUGAGGGUGCUGGUAGUGCCAGGGGUGCAGUGUGUGUGUGUGUGUGUGUGUGUGAGGGUGCUGAGAGUGUCAGGUGUGCAGUGUGUGUGUGAAUGUGUGAGGGUGCAGUUAGUGCCAGGGUGUGUGUGUGUGAGGGGUGCAGUGUCUGCUGUCUGUGAGUGAUGGGUGCAGUGUGUGUGAGGGUGCAGUGUGUGUGAGAGUGCUGUGAGUGUCAGUGGUGCAGUGUGUGUGUGAGGGUGAUG